rnacentral:tRNA from 1 species
GGGGUCGUAGCGCAGAGGUCGUCGCGAUCAGCUAUCACCUGAUAGGACGCCGGUUCGAUUCCGGUCGGCCUCGCCA